rnacentral:rRNA from 1 species
AGAGUUUGAUCCUGGCUCAGGAUGAACGCUAGCGGGAGGCCUAACACAUGCAAGCCGAGCGGUAGAGAUUCUUCGGAAUCUUGAGAGCGGCGUACGGGUGCGGAACACGUGUGCAACCUGCCUUUAUCUGGGAGAUAGCCUUUCGAAAGGAAGAUUAAUACCCCAUAAUAUAUUGAUUGGCAUCGAUUAAUAUUGAAAGCUCCGGCGGAUAGAGAUGGGCACGCGCAAGAUUAGAUAGUUGGUGAGGUAACGGCUCACCAAGUCAGUGAUCUUUAGGGGGCCUGAGAGGGUGAUCCCCCACACUGGUACUGAGACACGGACCAGACUCCUACGGGAGGCAGCAGUGAGGAAUAUUGGACAAUGGGUGAGAGCCUGAUCCAGCCAUCCCGCGUGAAGGACGACGGUUCUAUGGAUUGUAAACUUCUUUUAUAUAGGGAUAAACCUACUUACGUGUAAGUAGCUGAAGGUACUAUAUGAAUAAGCACCGGCUAACUCCGUGCCAGCAGCCGCGGUAAUACGGAGGGUGCAAGCGUUAUCCGGAUUUAUUGGGUUUAAAGGGUCCGUAGGCGGAUGUGUAAGUCAGUGGUGAAAUCUCAUAGCUUAACUAUGAAACUGCCAUUGAUACUGCAUGUCUUGAGUAAGGUAGAAGUGGCUGGAAUAAGUAGUGUAGCGGUGAAAUGCAUAGAUAUUACUUAGAACACCAAUUGCGAAGGCAGGUCACUAUGUCUUAACUGACGCUGAUGGACGAAAGCGUGGGGAGCGAACAGGAUUAGAUACCCUGGUAGUCCACGCCGUAAACGAUGCUAACUCGUUUUUGGGUUUUCGGAUUCAGAGACUAAGCGAAAGUGAUAAGUUAGCCACCUGGGGAGUACGUUCGCAAGAAUGAAACUCAAAGGAAUUGACGGGGGCCCGCACAAGCGGUGGAUUAUGUGGUUUAAUUCGAUGAUACGCGAGGAACCUUACCAAGACUUAAAUGGGAAAACUAUCGUGACUGGGAAACAGAUCGGAAGAGCACACGUCUGAACUCCAGUCACCUGAAGCUAUCUCGUAUGCCGUCUUCUGCUUGAAAAAAA